CCCCACAGCCACACUUCCUAUCUCAGAACAGAACCCUAUCCUGCCCCACCCACGCGCCUGCAGUUCACUCCAUCCACCGCGCCGCCGCCGCCGCCGCCGCUCCGCCUAGGCUCCCCUGCCGUCGUGCUGCAGGCAACCUGCCGGCGCCCUCCCAUCAGCGGCUAUUUUCGUCGGUCAGCCCACGAGCCCCUGCCAUUGCGCGACCGUUGACCGCGUGUUCCUCCCUGCGGCCCGGUGCCGGCGCGAUUCGUCGGACUGCUAACGAGCUUCCAAGGGAGGGGCGCUUCGACGGACACCAUACGCUGCUCGGAGUUCACUCCUUCGCCACCUACUCGCUCUUGGCGACGAGGCGUUCCUCCUUGCGGCAGCGCGCUAGGUCGACCUGCUUACGAGCUCCCAAUCGAUGCGCGCUUUGUUGGCCUACUCGUGAAGUCCCAACGGUGGCUCCCUGCGCCCCCUGCCCCUGAAAACUUCUACCUGCAGAGUGUAGUCGGUGGGAAGUUUGUUGCCAGUUGGAUAUAAGCAAAGCAAGGAAGGAGCGGGCCGAGGAAAUCGAUAAGAAGUGUACAAAUAUGCAUCAAACAUUCUGCUUUUCAAAGAGCAACAAAGAAUAUCUUGAUCACUGAAGAAGACCUACGAUGCAGGCCCAAGGUGGAAAGGGUGGCUGCGGGAACUAUUCAGCACGCCGAUCACGCAAUUAUAAUGGUAUAUGCUGAGAAGUUACAUAAUUUUGCAGAAGAUCUUUACACUACUAUACAAGUGAAUGUUGCUGGUGGAGGUAUAUUGGUUCUGCUAGUACAAAUCUAGAUUGAUUAGAUGUUAAAUCAAGUGGUAGCCGUGGCCGCGGGUGACGAUGCCAUUCGACGGAGUUUUUGUUGGGUGCUGUCUUGCAAGAUUUCCGCCGCUGCAGCUACUGUGAUUCAGCAAAACUGAAACUUAUAUCACGGUUGGUUCUGUUCUUGCGUGAGUGAUUAUUUAUCGCCAUGUUCCUUUUUAUGUACUUUCUAUCCCUUGUUUUGUGCAAAUGGAUCUUUACUGUUUCGCUGGGUUGCAUACCUAUUGUUUGCUAGUAGCCAACACGUGCUCUCAGCCUAGUUCAGCCAGAUGCAAAGCCAAGCCCAGCGUGUCAGCGCCCAAGCCAACAGCUAGCAAGCAACCAGGAGCGACUAGAUAUCCCAGCUAGCCACCCACCCUGCAAGCUUCCGAGGCCCCAACCCACAUGUUUUUGGUCUGUUCGGUAGAGAACCAAGUACUGAACCGAUUCCACAGGGAACCGAACGCUCGGUUAUAGUUAUUUUGGUACACCGAUCGGUGCUUGUUUUUUGAGGACCGAAAUUUUGCAGAGAUCGAGAAACCGACCUGAUCGGUUCGGGGGAACCGAGUGCCCACCCCUACCUAGUACGUAGUUCUGGGAUGUUCCUAAAAUAAUUUUUUGGUCAAUGCGGUUUAUUUCACUCAUCACGCCAAAUUUUUUUUAGCUCAUGGUAAUUUCUGUUUGUACUGCUUGCAUGAAUUUACUCAAAGGCUGAUUACUAUGAUGUGAGUUGUCUUGUGAAGUAAUUGCUGCCUUGUGAAGUAAUUGCUGCUGCUUGUAUACGUGAUCUGGGCCAAUACAAAUGAUGUUAAUCGUGCACAGCUAUGCUUAAUUUUUUUUAUAGUGCCAUUGUCUUUACGAAUGUACUGAAACUUGUUUACCUUUUGUAGGAAAUACAUGCAAGAGGGUGAGAAACCAUGAAGCGUGUGGUUUGGGUCAAUUAUGUAUUUUGUAUAAUAGAGCAAACUAUGAAUCGUCGGAUACAUCUUUUAGCUACCAUUUUGUAAACCUGUACAUGUCUUGGAUUCUGAACCGUUAUUUUCAUCUGUUGGAUUAGUUACUACUAGUUUAUGAGAAAUAUGGAUGCUAAUUAUGUUGAUAAGAGGUGAACUAUCUAUUUGUAAAUAUCAUUAAGGUGUUUGAUACUUUUGGAGGACAUGCA